rnacentral:pre_miRNA from 1 species
CACCCGUACAUAUGUUUCCGUGCUUGACAGCGAAGCUCAAUCACGUUACAAUGAAAGGGUAGC